AGCAGUCGCCGCGGUAAUACGAAGGGGGCUAGCGUUGCUCGGAAUUACUGGGCGUAAAGGGCGCGUAGGCGGACAGUUCAGUCGGGGGUGAAAGCCCGGGGCUCAACCUCGGAAUUGCCUUCGAUACUGGCUGUCUUGAGUAUGAGAGAGGUGUGUGGAACUCCGAGUGUAGAGGUGAAAUUCGUAGAUAUUCGGAAGAACACCAGUGGCGAAGGCGACACACUGGCUCAUUACUGACGCUGAGGCGCGAAAGCGUGGGGAGCGAACAGGAUUAGAUACCCCAGUAGUCCCUGUCUCUUAUAC
rnacentral:rRNA from 1 species